AGCUUUGCACAGUGGCAGUGUUGUAGCCAAUGAGGUUUAACCAAGGUGUGAUUAUUGCUAAUUAAAAUGUAUAUGAAUAUGAGCUGUUAUUAUUAUUAACCAGAUUACAAGACCCAUACUUAAAAACUUCCCAGUU
ensembl:snRNA U4 U4 spliceosomal RNA